UACGAGGGGGGCAAGCGUUGUUCGGAAUUAUUGGGCGUAAAGGGCGCGUAGGCGGUGCGGUAAGUCACCUGUGAAACCUCUAGGCUCAACCUAGAGCCUGCAGGCGAAACUGCCGUGCUUGAGGGUGGGAGAGGUGCGUGGAAUUCCCGGUGUAGCGGUGAAAUGCGCAGAUAUCAGGAAGAACACCCGUGGCUAAGGCGGCUCUCUAGUACGGUACUGACGCUGAGACGCGAAAGCGUGGGGAGCGAACAGG
rnacentral:rRNA from 1 species